CGUUGUCUCAGACAACUGCCAAUGUUUCCAGUGUCAGGAUGAUACGAGUGACCUGAGAGAAACGCCUUCGGGUGGUCACCCCUUCAAUGCUGUACAGUUCCAGUAUCUGGUGUGUGUGAUUGUAGUGAACUGUAU
rnacentral:sRNA from 1 species